rnacentral:rRNA from 1 species
CCUACGGGAGGCAGCAGUGAGGAAUAUUGGUCAAUGGUCGGGAGACUGAACCAGCCAAGCCGCGUGAGGGAUGAAGGUACAGAGUAUCGUAAACCUCUUUUGUCAGGGAACAAAGGCGGGGACGUGUCCCCGGAUGAGUGUACCUGAAGAAAAAGCAUCGGCUAACUCCGUGCCAGCAGCCGCGGUAAUACGGAGGAUGCGAGCGUUAUCCGGCUGUAUUGGGUUUAAAGGGUGCGCAGGCGGUCUGUUAAGUCAGCGUGCAAAGCCCGGGGCUCAACCCCGGCCCGCCGUUGAAACUGACAGUAGCGAGUUGGAGAGAAGUAUGCGGAAUGCGCGGUGUAGCGGUGAAAUGCAUAGAUAUCGCGCAGAACUCCGAUUGCGAAGGCAGCAUGCCGGCUCCACACUGACGCUGAGGCACGAAAGCGUGGGUAUCGAACAGGAUUAGAUACCCUUGUAGUC